UGGAUUAACGGAAAAAUUCUUUUUUAAUUUCAAAAAUUGAAGUUAUUUUUGUCAGUGAAGAAACUACAAUAAAAAUUAAGGACAAGAAGACCCUAAGAAUUUUUAAUAAUUUUAAAAAAGUUUUUUUUAAAUUAUUUUAAUUGGGGCGAUUAACAAAAAUAAGAAACUUUAUUUUUCCAAAAAAAUGAACCAUUAAUAAUGGUCAUAUGAAAAAAAUACUCUAGGGAUAACAGCGUAAUAAUUUUAGAUAGUUCUUAUAGACAAAAUAGUUUGCGACCUCGAUGUUGGAUUAGGAUUCUUAUUUAAUGAAGAAGUUAAAAAAAGAAGUUUGUUCAACUUUUAAAAUCCUACAUGAUCUGAGUUC
rnacentral:rRNA from 1 species